GUUCACAAUACCUUCCAGGAAUGAGUUAAUUUAAAAAAAAAAAAAGUUAAUGCCUUACUUGGAAGGAAUCAUACAAAAACUUUCAGGGAUCAAACACAAGUAUGACACACAAGGAGAGUGUCUCAAAGAUUAUCCAGUGGCAAAUGAUGGUCAGAUGAUAAAAUACCUCAAAUAUGUUAAUGAUACUAUAAACUACUGCCCAGACAUCACUUUUCAAGUCUUUUCUCGUCAGUGCAAGAAAUUAAAAAGGUAUUAUGCUUCUGCUCCAUUUUUGAAAAAAAGAAAGUCUUGUCUCUACUUUCCUAAAGUCUCUCCCAACAGGACUUUUGGGGAGUAUAUUCUGAAAACCCUUUACCAAAGAACCUGGUUCUGACUUCUGUCAGCUCAGAAGUGUCUCACACUAGGGUCACCCAAAAACAGCUCAUUCUCUUGACUGCUUUAAUAAGCAUUGAGGGAAAUGACGGACACCAGGCAGGAUCCUCAGGGCCAUGCAGCCCCUAGUGUCUCUCCCAACUGACCCCCCACGGGCCUCUCCUCAGCUGUCAUUCACUUUCAUGCCUCAUUGCUUAUGAAUUGGCAUUUGAACUCCUAGUCUCCUCUACACUGUGAAAGCAGGAACUGGCCUUUCAGGUGCAGAACCUGAUCUAUCCAGUAGGAGAUGCGAGCCAUUUGGUAGACAGCAGGAGUCCCGUCUGGAUAGCCCAGGGUUCUAGUCACUGCAGCCUUCCAACAUUUCAUUUUGCCAAUUGGGUGCUCUGUGGCUUAAUCUGAGGUCUCCUCAGCAUGAUAUAAAAGCCCAGACCUGCGGGGCUGCCUGGGCAGUCACGAUUAAUUGUACCAGGCACAACUUGGACAAGAAGGGGCUUGCCCUGGAACCCGCGUGGGGAUCGUUUCUCUUUCCACUGUUUUGCACUGUUUUCCACAGUUUUGCACUCUGCUGGCAACUAGCACUAGCUUCACUACCUCCAGUGGCUGUUUAUGGGGUAAAGUGGAGUUGUUACUCACUGAAAGCCAGCAAGAGCCUAGUCCCUCAAAGUCUAGAGCAGGCCGUCUGUGCCAAAUCCAAGAGUUUAUAGUUCUACUUGCAAAUGUUUAUGCCUGCCCACAGUCAUCCAGCAACGUAGGGAGACAGCAGAAGACAAAGAUGAAAACCCUCUUCAGACUCCUCUCCUCCGGAGCCGAGACCGUGGUUGCCUCUUUCAGGAUUUCUGUCUCCCACAGUCAAUUUACACCUCUUAUCUCAUCAUGCUCUCCAGACGGAAGGCUGAAUUGACCGCUUCUGCCAGGGGCCAUGGCAAUGGUGUUAAAACUCAACCACAGAUCAAAGCUCUCCAGGCAAGGGGCUGAGAAAUUCAGCCGGAGCCGCAGAAGCGGUGACUCGGUGGAGCUGGAUCCCCUAAGCUUGGCUGGGAAAGCUGAUUACCAUCUCCAUAACGCCACGGUCCCCGGAGGGGCGUGCGGUUCCUUCCACCAGCCCCGAUCCCGGCAGUCCUGGACCUCAGCUCGGCAGAUGCCCCCCACCCAGCCGCCGGGACUUUAGCUCCGGGGAUGCCCCCCACCCUCGCUGGGCGCCCGGGUGGGACCUGGUGGGAAAAACGGCGGUGCGCUAGCCCCAGGCGAAGGACGGGGGCAGCCAGUUAAUCACAGCUCGUCUCGCCUCCAUUAACUUCUGUUGAUAUUAAAAAGAAAUCAAUCAGUGAAAAUGGAGCCUUGGCCGUGAAUAUUUCUUUUUCUCCAGUGGAAAAGCAAAGAGCGAGGCGGCGGCGGAGGGGAGGCGGAACUCGCCGGCGACUGCAGAGGAUUCUCCCAGGCCGAAGACCGCAGCGGAGACUUAACUUUCUGGCAAUGGGCAGUGCUGAGGAAAUGCCGCAGGCUUCUCCCUGGGGGUGUCCUUAGUGUGGAGGAGGAGGGGACAAAGCUAGAGGAGUUGGAGGCGGCCCACUUAAACCGGGCUGGAGCUUGGGUUUUGCUUUCUCUGGGAAUAUUUUUGCCUAAUAGAAUGUUUAUGGAUC